CCAAGNCGACGACGGGUAGCCGGCCUGAGAGGGCGACCGGCCACACUGGGACUGAGACACGGCCCAGACUCCUACGGGAGGCAGCAGUGGGGAAUAUUGCACAAUGGGGGAAACCCUGAUGCAGCGACGCAGCGUGCGGGAUGACGGCCUUCGGGUUGUAAACCGCUUUCAGCAGGGAAGAAGCCUUUCGGGGUGACGGUACCUGCAGAAGAAGUACCGGCUAACUACGUGCCAGCAGCCGCGGUAAUACAAA
rnacentral:rRNA from 1 species